rnacentral:rRNA from 1 species
CGCGUCUUAGCAUGCAAGUCGAGCGGCAAGAGGUAGCAAUAUCUCCUAGAGCGGCGGACUGGUGAGUAACGCGUGGGUGACCUGCCUUGAGGUUGGGGAUAGCCGUUAGAAAUAGCGGGUAAUACCGGAUACGGUUGUCGGGCAAUGGCCUGGCAAAGAAAGGGGCUUUGGCCCCGCCUCGAGACGGGCCCGCGUCCUAUUAGGUAGUUGGUGAGGUAAAGGCCCACCAAGCCCGAGAUAGGUAGCCGGCCUGAGAGGGUGAACGGCCACACUGGGACUGAGAUACGGCCCAGACUCCUACGGGAGGCAGCAGCUAAGAAUAUUCCGCAAUGGACGAAAGUCUGACGGAGCGACGCCGCGUGGAUGAGGAAGGCCGAAAGGUUGUAAAAUCCUUUUGCGGACGAAGAAUAAGCGUGGCAGGGAAUGGCUGCGUGAUGACGUUAGUCCGUGAAUAAGCCCCGGCUAAUUACGUGCCAGCAGCCGCGGUAACACGUAGGGGGCGAGCGUUGUUCGGAAUUAUUGGGCGUAAAGGGCGCGUAGGCGGCCGUGUAAGUCUGGCGUGAAAGGCGUGAGCUUAACUCACGGACUGCGCUGGAAACUGUACGACUUGAGUCAUGGAGGGGUAGUUGGAAUUCCGCGUGUAGGGGUGAAAUCUGUAGAUAUGCGGAAGAACACCGGUGGCGAAGGCGGACUACCAGCCAAUGACUGACGCUGAGGCGCGAAAGUGCGGGGAGCAAACAGGAUUAGAUACCCUGGUAGUCCGCACUAUAAACGAUGCACACUAGUGUUGGGCCGAGCGGUUCAGUGCCGGAGCGAACGCGAUAAGUGUGCCGCCUGGGGAGUAUGCCCGCAAGGGUGAAACUCAAAGGAAUUGACGGGGGCCCGCACAAGCGGUGGAGCAUGUGGUUUAAUUCGAUGAUACGCGAGGAACUUACCUGGGUUUGACAUGCG